rnacentral:rRNA from 1 species
GCAAGUCGAGCGGACCGACGGGAGCUUGCUCCCUUAGGUCAGCGGCGCCACGGGUGAGUAACACGUGGGUAACCUGCCUGUAAGACUGGGAUCACUCCGGGAAACCGGGGCUAAUACCGGAUGCUUGAUUGAACCGCAUGGUUCAAUCAUGAAAGGCGGCUUCGGCUGCCGUUUACAGAUGGACCCGCGGCGCAUUAGCUAGUUGGUGAGGUAACGGCUCACCAAGGCGACGAUGCGUAGCCGACCUGAGAGGGUGAUCGGCCACACUGGGACUGAGACACGGCCCAGACUCCUACGGGAGGCAGCAGUAGGGAAUCUUCCGCAAUGGACGAAAGUCUGACGGAGCAACGCCGCGUGAGUGAUGAAGGUUUUCGGAUCGUAAAGCUCUGUUGUUAGGGAAGAACAAGUACCGUUCGAAUAGGGCGGUACCUUGACGGUACCUAACCAGAAAGCCACGGCUAACUACGUGCCAGCAGCCGCGGUAAUACGUAGGUGGCAAGCGUUGUCCGGAAUUAUUGGGCGUAAAGCGCGCGCAGGCGGUUUCUUAAGUCUGAUGUGAAAGCCCCCGGCUCAACCGGGGAGGGUCAUUGGAAACU